rnacentral:rRNA from 1 species
UACGUAGGGGGCGAGCGUUGUCCGAAUUUACUGGGCGUAAAGCGCGCGUAGGCGGCUCUUUAAGUCCGGCGUGAAAGGUUCAGGGCUCAACCCGAACAGUGCGCUGGAGACUGGAGGGCUUGAGGACGGGAGAGGGAAGCGGAAUUCCGGGUGUAGCGGUGAAAUGCGUAGAUAUCCGGAGGAACACCGAUGGCGAAGGCCGCUUCCUGGCCCGUAUCUGACGCUGAGGUGCGAAAGCGUGGGGAGCGAACGGG